rnacentral:rRNA from 1 species
AUACGCAUCCUUUGCUGAGGAGACGGUUAACGGAGCGAAAGCGACGUUCAACCUCAAAAGAAGCAGAGGGGGCUUAGUGGUGGGGUGACUGCGUACCUUUUGUAUAAUGGGUCAGCGACUUAUAUUCUGUAGCAAGGUUAACUGUAUAGGGGAGCCGGAGGGAAACCGAGUCUUAACCGGGCGUUAAGUUGCAGGGUAUAGACCCGAAACCCGGUGAUCUAGCCAUGGGCAGGUUGAAGGUUGGGUAACACUAACUGGAGGACCGAACCGACUAAUGUUGAAAAAUUAGCGGAUGACCUGUGGCUGGGGGUGAAAGGCCAAUCAAACCGGGAGAUAGCUGGUUCUCCCCGAAAGCUAUUUAGGUAGCGCCUCGUGAAUUCAUCUCCGGGGGUAGAGCACUGUUUCGGCUAGGGGGCCAUCCCGGCUUACCAACCCGAUGCAAACUGCGAAUACCGGAGAAUGUUAUCACGGGAGACACACGGCGGGUGCUAAUGUCCGUCGUGAAGAGGGAAACAACCCAGACCGCCAGCUAAGGUCCCAAAGUCAUGGUUAAGUGGGAAACGAUGUGGGAAGGCCCAGACAGCCAGGAUGUUGGCUUAGAAGCAGCCAUCAUUUAAAGAAAGCGUAAUAGCUCACUGGUCGAGUCGGCCUGCGCGGAAGAUGUAACGGGGCUAAACCAUGCACCGAAGCUGCGGCAGCGACACCGUGUGUUGUUGGGUAGGGGAGCGUUCUGUAAGCCUGUGAAGGUGUGCUGUGAGGCAUGCUGGAGGUAUCAGAAGUGCGAAUGCUGACAUAAGUAACGAUAAAGCGGGUGAAAAGCCCGCUCGCCGGAAGACCAAGGGUUCCUGUCCAACGUUAAUCGGGGCAGGGUGAGUCGACCCCUAAGGCGAGGCCGAAAGGCGUAGUCGAUGGGAAACGGGUUAAUAUUCCCGUACUUGGUGUUACUGCGAAGGGGGGACGGAGAAGGCUAUGUUGGCCGGGCGACGGUUGUCCCGGUUUAAGCGUGUAGGUAUGUGUUCCAGGUAAAUCCGGUUCACUUUAACACUGAGGCGUGACGACGAGGCACUACGGUGCUGAAGCAACAAAUGCCCUGCUUCCAGGAA